CCUACGGGUGGCAGCAGUGAGGAAUAUUGGUCAAUGGACGAGAGUCUGAACCAGCCAAGUAGCGUGAAGGAUGACUGCCCUAUGGGUUGUAAACUUCUUUUAUAUGGGAAUAAAAUGUUCCACGUGUGGGAUUUUGUAUGUACCAUAUGAAUAAGGAUCGGCUAACUCCGUGCCAGCAGCCGCGGUAAUACGGAGGAUCCGAGCGUUAUCCGGAUUUAUUGGGUUUAAAGGGAGCGUAGGUGGAUUGUUAAGUCAGUUGUGAAAGUUUGCGGCUCAACCGUAGAAUUGCAGUUGAAACUGGCAGUCUUGAGUACAGUAGAGGUGGGCGGAAUUCGCGGUGUAGCGGUGAAAUGCUUAGAUAUCACGAAGAACUCCGAUUGCGAAGGCAGUUCACUGGACUGCAACUGACACUGAGGCUCGAAAGUGUGGGUAUCAAACAGGAUUAGAUACCCUAGUAGUC
rnacentral:rRNA from 1 species